UACGUAGGGCGCAAGCGUUGUCCGGAAUUAUUGGGCGUAAAGAGCUCGUAGGCGGCUUGUCACGUCGGGUGUGAAAGCCCGGGGCUUAACCCCGGGUCUGCAUUCGAUACGGGCUAGCUAGAGUGUGGUAGGGGAGACUGGAAUUGCUGGUGUAGCGGUGAAAUGCGUAGAGAUCAGCAGGAACACCCGUGGCGAAGGCGGCCCCCUGGGCCGUACCUGACGCUGAGGCGCGAAGGCUAGGGGAGCGAACGGG
rnacentral:rRNA from 1 species